GCUACAUCGCACUUCAAAUGACUAUAGACAAACGAUUUUUCAUUUCCGAAACGAAGCAAUGUCUAUUAUCAUCUCUUUUUUCUUGUUUUUUUUUUUUCCUCUUUUGCCAUUAAUAACCAACAUUUGUUGCAAGUCCUUCGUCCUUCCUACCCCACCAUCCAUCCUUACCCCACCUCUUACUUCUUGUGCGAUGGUUGUGUACCGGUAGUGGAAGGGUCAACAGAACUAAUCACGCUGCCUGUAGCAGCAGACACCAAUCUCCCUCUCUGAGAAGUCGAUAAUUCUGGGUGCGUUUCUGCCAAGGAUGAAUUGUAUUUUGAGGCGUACUCGUAUAAGGCAUCUUCAAGAUCCUUCAGCUGGCUGUCCAGCCCGUUAUCCCCAGAAACGGUGGUGGCGUUUGAUUGUUUAGAGCUGCUCAUUACGUCUGUCUCUUCUGCUUUGUAUUUUGUUUGCCCGGUUUUAGGUCAAUGUUCCUUUUCUAGUCAAUGAGUUGCGGCCUUUGUUGGUUACUCUCGAAACUUGCUGAAGAGAGACUCUUAUUAUAUAUCUUGGGGACCAGCUUCGCUUCGUCUAAGUAUGCCUUCGAAAGCGUUCGGAGCAGCUGACUAUUACUGGGUUUCAUUAGAAGUCUUCGGAUCAAAGCUCUGCGAUAGUAGCGUUCAUAGCAACUUGAUUACUGUCGGGCGGAUCAAAGUUUAUCAUUAGGACAACUGUCGUACUUCCUCGGCUUUCCCUUUGUCUGAGUUUAUGAUAGCUUGCUUCCUACAGUAAUACCUGAAUUCGAAAUUUUUAUUAGCAGCUCGUUAGGAGGUGAUAACUCAGCAUGAGAAGCUUUGAAGAUGAAACCCAGAUCCCCCAAGUUGCGAAUGCACCGCCAUCCCGCUUUUUAGAUCCUAAAAGAAAGCUUUACAAGUUCACGCAUCUGGAAACUGAACACACUCCUUAGAGAACGGUAACCAAAGAGACGGGGUUUAGAUGUUUCUGAGUGGGGUGCCGGGCGAAGAAAGGGAGAAAGUCAAAAGAAGGAGUGGUUCAAGGCUUGGGAUGACUUUCGACAAAGGAGCAAUAAAUGCGCGCUCGGCGUUAUGGAUCUCUUGGUAACAUCUCGUUGCAGAUGUUACAUGUGGCAUAGCAACAAAUACUUUGCAAUGGUCACCGAGCUAGUAAGGAAACAGGAGGCAUGAUAAGAGCUGGAAGACCCUUCGAUCUUGAUCUGGUUCCUUACUAAUACCUGAAGGCUGCCUGUUCUGCAGUACGAUUAGUCGUAUCAUUGCUUUCCAAAGCUCACAGUUACAGCCACUGCUGUGCUCUGUACAUGCACUUCAGUAUUCGUAGGGUGUGCCCGGCUCGUUAUAUCGCUUUGAAUUAACGAAACCCUUUUGUCUGAAUAGGUCGGCGAUCAGCUUGCGCCCAAAGCCUCACCGUCCUUUUUUCCUUCCUCAGUCUCGUGCUAUAUGGUGGAAUUCUGUGGUCAAAUGUGUCGAUUAUGUUUCUCAGUCACUUCUGCCGUUACCAUGCAAGACUAAGCGUUUCCCGCCUCCCCGUUGAUGAAGAUGACGCGUGCGCACUGGUAGCAGGUGGCAAGUCGUUCGUAAGUUGCGAAAUGUCAACCAGAUUCGCUAGAUUAGAUUUGAUUGGAUCAGGCGUGGGAAUCCGUGAUGGUACAAGUUCAAUUUGACGCGGGCUUAUAUGAAGUGGUGGCAAAG
rnacentral:sRNA from 1 species